UUUGUUCAUUCGUUCCACAAACACACCUAU
rnacentral:piRNA from 1 species